UUUUAGUGGUGAACGGGUGAGUAACGCGUGAGAAUUUGCCUUUAGGAGGAGGAUAACGAAUAGAGAUAUUUGCUAAAACUCCAUAUGCCUUUCUACAAAGGUGAAAAAAGUAGUUUGCCUAAAGAGAAGCUCGCGUCUGAUUAGCUAGUUGGUAGGGUAAAGGCCUACCAAGGCGACGAUCAGUAAUUGGUCUGGGAGGAUGACCAGUCACAUUGGAACUGAGACACGGUCCAGACUCUUACGAGAGGCAGCAGUAAGGAAUAUUCUGCAAUGGGCGCAAGCCUGACAGAGCAAUACCUCGUGGAGGACGAAGGCCUACGGGUUGUAAACUUCUUUUCUCAAGGAGGAAGAACUGACGUUACUUGAGGAAUAAGCAACGGCUAACCCUGUGCCAGCAGCCGCGGUAAUACAGGGGUUGCAAGUCUUGUUCGGAAUUAUUGGGCGUAAAGCGUCUGCAGGUGGAUAAUUAAGUCUUUUGUUAAAGCUUUGAGCUUAACUCGAAAACAGCAAAAGAAACCAGUUAUCUUGAGUAUAGGAGAGGGAAAGGGAAUUCCACGUGGAGAGGUGAAAUUCGUAGAUAUGUGGAGGAACACCAACAGCGAAGGCACUUUCCUGGACUAUUACUGACACUCAGGGACGAAAGCUAGGGUAGCAAACCGGAUUAGAUACCCGGGUAGUCCUAGCCGUAAACGAUGGAUACUAGAUGUUGCGUACUUUCUGAGUAUGCAGUGUCGUAGCUAACGCGUUAAGUAUCCCGCCUGGGUAGUAUGUUCGCAAGAAUGAAACUCAAAAGAAUUGACGGGGACCCGCACAAGCGGUGGAGCAUGUGGUUUAAUUCGAUGCAACACGAAGAACC
rnacentral:rRNA from 1 species